CUAUCAGAAAAGAACAUAAAAAUGAACGAAAACAAAUGCUUUCAAAAUUUUAGCUUUAGACAUUCGUCAUAGAAAAAAGCUUCUUCGGCAUUUUCAUAUAAUUGCAUUAUUAUAUUGCUCUGAAUAUACUCUUUUGAUUAUAAACAGAUUCUGUCCAACCUUCGUAAAAUUUCACGGAGAGUCAUUCAAAAGACUUUAUCCACAUUCGGAACCUAAAUAUUGACGCCGCUUU
rnacentral:lncRNA from 1 species